GGGGAUUCUGUGUCCCUGCGUCCAGAAAAGGGACAGAUAUAGAAAAGGAGGAUGCAGUCUCACUGGGCCAUAAACAUAUAUGAUUCCUUCUUGGAAGGAAUCAGAAAUACUCACAGGCCUUCUAUUUUCUGGGUAAACUGAUAGAACGCAGGCUGUUUAAAUCGACAGUCAAACCACAAUGCCCCCUGGUGGUGAAAUCAUGCAUCUACACAUCUCAUCACAGAUAGGAAAUUCUCCAAUAAGGUCAACACGACAAGGACAUCUGCAGAGAUCUUUCUACAUGCUCUGCCAACUUGGCACUCAUCUAUAACUUUAGAUGACGAGGCAGAACACCAGUGAUGACUGCAAACAUAUGCUUGAUUUUUUUAAGCAACGGGAAAAUGAAAAAUGAACGGGAGGAGGGAACACUGCUGCCUUCUGAGGACAGAGGUCGUGUUUCAAGGAGUCAGGAGUGAUGGGGAGGUGGGACGAGAAUGAAGACUUAGGGGAAUCUGAAGAAAACAAGGUGGUGUGUGGAGAAUGAGGGCAGUCAGUGAAGCCAAAUAGCACCAGGUGGAAAAAUAGCCUAAAAGAAGUACAAGACUAAUCAUCCAAAAAUUCUAAAGCAAAAAUAAAAACCCAUAAUUCAGCAAAAGACACACUUUCAGGUGUUUAGAAGACUGUGGUUAUCCAUUUAAAGAUGUUCCUCUCCCAAGGAAUCUCUGAGAAUUAUAAAUGUG
rnacentral:antisense_RNA from 1 species